rnacentral:lncRNA from 1 species
AAGUGUGUUUGAAAAUGAGUUUUAAAAAAAUAAGUUUAUAAAAAUAUGGGAGCAAAAUAUAGCUUAACAUGUUAGCUACAACAAUGCACGAGUCGAUAGCAUAGUACUUAGUAUCCAUAGUUUAUAGUUGGGAUUACUGGGUAUUUAGGGCCCGUUUGGUAGGGAUUUUGAGAAUUGAUUUUUUGACCGUUAGAAAAAAAGUAGGGUCCACAUGUGAGAGAAGAAGUCAAAAAUUACGGCUUGAAUAGUAAAAUAACGGUCAAAAAAUCAAUUUUUUGGGGCAAAAAAUCCCUACCAAACGGGGCCUUAAUCCUAUUUGCUCUAUUUUCUUUCAGUGUCGGUCCAGCAGAGUGCUGUUGAUUCUUUUGUGGGUCUUGUACACACAACUAAUACAAUUUAAUGCACAAAGGUAAAAGGAUUCAUAUACCACAAUGGCA